rnacentral:rRNA from 1 species
AUCCGGGGUGAGGACAGUGUCUGGUGGGUAGUUUGACUGGGGCGGUCUCCUCCCAAAGAGUAACGGAGGAGCACGAAGGUUAGCUAAUCACGGUCGGACAUCGUGAGGUUAGUGCAAAGGCAUAAGCUAGCUUGACUGCGAGAGUGACGGCUCGAGCAGGUACGAAAGUAGGUCUUAGUGAUCCGGUGGUUCUGAAUGGAAGGGCCAUCGCUCAACGGAUAAAAGGUACUCCGGGGAUAACAGGCUGAUACCGCCCAAGAGUUCAUAUCGACGGCGGUGUUUGGCACCUCGAUGUCGGCUCAUCACAUCCUGGGGCUGAAGUAGGUCCCAAGGGUAUGGCUGUUCGCCAUUUAAAGUGGUACGCGAGCUGGGUUUAGAACGUCGUGAGACAGUUCGGUCCCUAUCUGCCGUGGGCGUUGGAAGAUUGAGAGGGGUUGCUCCUAGUACGAGAGGACCGGAGUGAACGCACCACUGGUGUUCGGGUUGUCAUGCCAAUGGCAUUGCCCGGUAGCUAAGUGCGGAAAAGAUAAGCGCUGAAAGCAUCUAAGCGCGAAACUUGCCUCAAGAUGAGUCUUCCCUGGGCCUUUAAGGCCCCUGAAGGAACGUUUAAGACUAAGACGUUGAUAGGCUGGGUGUGUAAGUGCAGCGAUGCAUUGAGCUAACCAGUACUAAUGAUCCGUGAGGCUUAACCUUACAACACCGAAGGUGUUUUAG